AAUGUGUUUCUUUGUUAAAUUAUUAUUUCUUAUUCAUUUUAUAUUGAGAAUUUGUGAAUUUUAUCUUAUUCAGUUAUUUUUAUUUAUUUUGUUGUUUUUGCCUGCGGGGGUCGCCCUUCUGCUCUCCGCCUCGUUUGUGUUUCCUGGGCUUCCGUAGUCUAUUCUAGCCCUCGUAGCUCCUCUGCCCCCCCUUUUUCCUCAGAGCGUUGUUCUGCGCUGCUGUGGAGUCGGAGUGCAGGGAGAAGGAGUUGAGGAGGUUGUUAAUUUGUUUUCCCUUCUUCCCCCAG